AAGUCGUAACAAGGUAACCGUAGGUGAACCUGCGGUUGGAUCAUUAACAAAUCCAACUAGUCUAGGCCAAGUUUGAAAAAACAAGGCUCAUGACUACAAACACCCUGUGAACUAGAACUGUCUUUGGUAGGGCGUUAGCUCUACCAAUCUAUUUACCCCAUUAUUUUUAACCUGAUUUCUUUAUAACUAAACCUUGCAAAAGGGAUAGUCUCUAAUGAAAAACAACUUUUGACAACGGAUCUCUUGGUUCUC
rnacentral:misc_RNA from 1 species